UACAGAGGCCUCGAGCGUUAAUCGGAGUCACUGGGCUUAAAGGGUGCGUAGGCGGUUCUUCAAGUGCCUUGUGAAAUUCCACAGCUCAACUGUGGAAUUGCUCGGUAGACUGGAGAACUUGAGGUUGGUAGAGGUUACUGGAACUCUAGGUGGAGCGGUGAAAUGCCUAGAUAUCUAGAGGAACACCGAACGUGAAGACAGGUAACUGGGCCAAUUCUGACGCUGAGGCACGAAAGCGUGGGGAGCAAACGGG
rnacentral:rRNA from 1 species